ensembl:lncRNA
UUCUUCUCCCAGAAGCUCAGUGCGGCGGAGCUGAACUAUGACGUAGGGGAUCGUGAGCUGUUAGCCGUGGUUUGAGCCCUGUCAGCGUGGCGGAACUGGUUAGAGGGGGCUAAACACCCUUUCCUCGUCUGGACGGACCAUCAAAACUUGGAGUACAUGCGGGCAGCGAGGAGGCUGACCCCUCGCCAGGCAAGGUGGGCUAUGUUCUUCACCCGGUUUGUUUUUACUCUUACAUACAGGCCGGGGAGUAAGAAUGUCGGGGCCGACGCGCAGUGGAUGACGCUCCCGUGCUCCCGGCGUCGUGCAUCGUGGCGCCGGUGGUGUGGGAACUGGACGCGGACAUUGCUAGAGCGCAGCGUGACGAGACCUCUCUGCCUACAUGCCCUGAGGGCCGUACGUAUGUGCCGGCGUCUGUCCGUGACUGGCUCAUCUACUGGGUGCAUACAUCUCCCUCCUCCGGUCAUCCUGGUAUCGGGCCAACGGUGCGUGCCCUGGCCAGUAAGUACUGGUGGCCCACUUUAGCCAAGGACAUGAGGGUGUACGUCACUUCCUGCUCGGUUUGCACCCAGAGUAAGGCACCUCGAUACCUACCUAUGGGUAAGUUGCAUCCCUUACCCAUUCCACAAUGACCAUGGUCCCACCUGUCAGUUGAUUUCCUCAAUGAUCUCCCCCCUUCACAGGGCCAUACCACCAUCCUGGUCAUUGUGGAUCGGUUCUCGAAGUCCUGCCGCCUCUUGCCUCUGCCCGGCCUUCCUACUGCCCUACAGACCGCGGAGGCCCUAUUUACACACGUCUUCCGGCACUAUGGGGUGCCCGAGGACAUUGUGUCUGACCGGGGUCCCCAGUUCACGUCCAGGGUGUGGAGAGCCAAAAGAUCUUCGCGGACCGCCACCGCAGGGAGGCCCCGGUAUAUCGUCCAGGCGACCGGGUCUGGCUCUCAUCCAAGGACCUGCCCCUCCGCCUGCCCUGCCAGAAGCUGGCCCUGUGGCCGGUGGUGGCUGGUCCCCUUCAGGGGUGUGUGGUACAGGAGGCCCCCCCCCCCCGGACAUCGAGGGGGCCCCGGCGUACUCCAUCUGCUCCAUCAUUGACUCGAGGCGCCGAGCAGGGGGCCGGUGAAGGACGUCCUGGCUCCCGCCCUCAUACGUAAUUUCCAUCGUCCUCGCCCGGAUAGCUCUGCUCCGUGUCCCCCGGGUCGGCGUGGCCGCGCGUCGGAGGGGGGGGGGUACUGUGACUACUGCGCCCUCUGCUGCCUCACCUCCAACUGCAGCAGAUGGGCUCCAGCGUUGGACGUCACCGGCCUUCUGACACCACCACCCAUCUCAUUAUACAUUUCACCUGUGUCUUGUUUAGCACACAUGGUUCUCAUCCUCAUCAUUCCCCCCAGUACAUAUGUUCCCUCUGCUUCCCCUGUCUUUGUGUGUUAUUGUCUCUCUUUGUUAAUGAGAGCGCUGUUAAGCUUUGUCGCUGUCUGUACAAUAUUAAACACAGCAUGUACG